AGGAUGAACGCUGGCGGCGUGCCUAAUACAUGCAAGUCGAGCGGUAAGGCCUCUUCGGAGGUACACGAGCGGCGGACGGCUGAGUAACACGUAGGAACGUACCCCAAAGUGAGGGAUAAGCACCAGAAAUGGUGUCUAAUACCGCAUGUGAUCUUCGGAUUAAAGCUCCGGCGCUUUGGGAACGGCCUGCGCAUGAUUAGCUUGUUGGUGAGGUAAUGGCUCACCAAGGCGACGAUCAUUAGCUGGUCUGAGAGGAUGACCAGCCAGACUGGGACUGAGAACGGCCCAGACUCCUACGGGAGGCAGCAGUAGGGAAUUUUCCACAAUGGGCGAAAGCCUGAUGGAGCAACGCCGCGUGCAGGAUGAAUGCCUUCGGGUUGUAAACUGCUUUUAUAUGUGACGAUUAUGACGGUAGCAUAUGAAUAAGGAUCGGCUAACUCCGUGCCAGCAGCCGC
rnacentral:rRNA from 1 species